rnacentral:tRNA from 1 species
GCUCGUUUGGUGGAAUUGGUAUACACGGCAGACUCAAAAUCUGUGCCUUUUAGGCUGUCGGUUCGAGUCCGACAACGAGUA